GGAGGCGUCCGGCGCCUGGUGGCGCCCGCGGUCUUCAAAACCGACGUGGCCGGGACUCCCGGCCAGGCGGGUUCGAUUCCCGUCCGCCUCCGCCA
rnacentral:tRNA from 1 species